CCUACGGGAUGCAGCAGUGGGGAAUAUUGGGCAAUGGAGGCAACUCUUACCCAGCAAUGCCGCGUGAGUGAAGAAGGUCUUCGGAUUGUAAAGUUCUUUAAUUGGGGACGAAAAAAAUGACGGUACCUGAAGAAGAAGCCCCGGCUAACUACGUGCCAGCAGCCGCGGUAAUACGUAGGGGGCAAGCGUUAUCCGGAUUUACUGGGUGUAAAGGGGGCGCAGACGGAGAUGCAAGCCAGGAGUGAAAGCCCGGGGCCCAACCCCGGGACUGCUCUUGGAACUGUGUGGCUGGAGUGCCGGAGGGGCAGGCGGAAUUCCUGGUGUAGCGGUGAAAUGCGUAGAUAUCAGGAGGAACACCGGUGGCGAAGGCGGCCUGCUGGACUGCAACUGACGUUGAGGCUCGAAAGCGUGGGGAGCAAACAGGAGUAGAUACCCGUGUAGUC
rnacentral:rRNA from 1 species